rnacentral:rRNA from 1 species
UACAGAGGGCGCGAGCGUUGUCCGGAAUCACUGGGCGUAAAGGGCGCGUAGGUGGCCACCAUAAGGCCGCUGUGAAAGUCCAGGGCUCAACCCUGGGAUGCCGGUGGAUACUGUCGGGCUCGAGUCCGGAAGAGGAGUGUGGAAUUCCUGGUGUAGCGGUGAAAUGCGCGGAUAUCAGGAGGAACACCAAUGGCGAAGGCAGCACUCUGGGACGUGACUGACGCUGAGACGCGAAAGCGUGGGGAGCAAACAGG